rnacentral:pre_miRNA from 1 species
GUAGUAUUCCCUCCGUCCCAAAAUUCUUGUCUUACAUUUGUUUAGAUACGGAUGUAUCUAACACUAAAAUGUAACUAGAUACAUCCGUAUUUAGACAAAUUUAAGACAAGAAUUUUGGGACGGAUGGGAGUACAAA